UGAAACUAAAAGGCAUUCAGAACAUCUUCAUCUGUCAAACAACCUAUAUGUACUAGAUGAGUACUUUUUAAAUGGUGAUUUGCAUACAAAUCGCCCAGGGAUCUUGUUAAAGGGCAUUAUUUGUAGGUCUAGGGUGGGGACCUGUGAUUCCACUUUUCCUGCAAGCUCUCAGGUGACGCUGAAGCUGCCUGGACACAGAGAAGUUUGAAUAUCAGUUGUACUCAGGAAAGAAUCCCUCAAUGGCUAGUCCUGGUUAGAUGUCUUUUGGAUACUUCUGUGAAUUCUGAACAUGGGAUCAACUGAUAUCAUCAGGGAUUGUGUAGCGAAAUUGAUGACAGUGAGAAUAUUGAGGCAAAGACUCCCCCAUCCUACAGUUUCUGAAGACAAUGAAUCUGGCCAUUGCUUAAUUGGGUUUUCUAGGGUCUCUUGCAAAGCUGUGAUCAAGAUGUGAGCUAUGGACAGUCUCAUCCAAAUGCUCAAGUGGGGAAGGAUUGACUUCCAAUCUCAUGUGGAUAUUAACAAAUUCAGUCCUCAAGGAAUAUGGGACUCAAUCCCUCAGUACUUGUUUGUUAUCAACGGAGGCUGCCCUCAGUUUCUUGCCAUGUGCACCUUUCCAACACACGAAGCUUCAUCAAAGUCUAUAAAAAGAAAGGCAAUAGAGAUAGUCUACUAGCAAGACAGUAGUCUCAAUUACCUACAACUUCAUCACAUUAGAGAUAUUCCCUUACUUUUACCAUAUUCUCUUGGUUGUAAUUACAUCAUUAGGGAAUUACUUUUAAUCAUGAUCAUAGCUCACUGCCAGGGGAAGAGAUUAAAAAGGAUGCGAAGAAAAUGAGAAUAAUUAGGGGACAUCUUAGAAGCUGCCUUUCCAAGUGAUAACUGAAAUGUGGUAGCUUUGCCUCUCUUUGAAUGAGUAAAAGCCAUAGUUAAACAAGUCAACAUAUGAAAGAUAAUUUGUACUCCUUUCUCUACCACGACAGAACAUAUUUGCUAAUCUGGUUUGGGUUGCUUUAAACAUCAUCUGCAUUGGAUUUGUUACACAAUAGUCAGUACAGACACUUCUCAAAUCUUGUCUUCUCUACUGAAAACAGUGAAUGUUUUAGAUAAAGGUCUUUUCAGAUUGAUGCUUCUUAUGUGGCUUUUAUUCAUGGGAGAGGGAGCAAGAAAGCAUACAAGUCAAAGUGGUAGAUAUAAUUUCUUAAUUACCUCACAUUGGAUAUGCAGGUGAAAAAACAUUUUGAAAAUGUCUCAAAAAAGAACAAGGUAAGAAAAUAAAGAAAUCCCCAGCCUCUGUGUAGUUGUAAACAAAGAUGGCUGAAUUGAGUAGAAUUUUCUGCAGGUCCUUAAAAGAAUGGAUCAAUAUAAAUAAAACAAAUGAAGUUUUGUCAAGGAAACUAAGGAUGUAGAUAUUGCCAUUAUUUAAAAUGUUGAUAUUUGUUUUAUUGUGAAAUUUUUCAUUAAUAUAUUAAUAUUGCUGAAUUUAUUGUCCUUCUACCCUUAAAUUUUGCAUUACUGGCAGACCAAUCUUGGCCCCAGAUCACUUUUUUACUAAGUCUGAGGAGGAAUGAAAACCCCUAUUUAUAAGUCAAGUUUCUAAAAACAAAAAACACACAAACAAAAAAACAUGUGGUCAGUUUAUCCCAAUGAAGAUAAAUUUACAAUACUGAUGUAGAGGAAGAAUUAAAAUAAAUUGUGCUGAAACGUGGUGACAAAUUCACCUUGGACAUAAAUGUGACAGAGAAAAAAUCAGUGUCUCAAAAACUAGGAUUAUCUACCUACGGCCUCAGCAGAAGAUGACUGGCUGUAUGCCACUCUCAGACUUGAGUGGCAACAAUUAUUCUGUGGGUUGUUGAAUACAGAUUCUCAACAGAGUUAUACGCAUCAUGACCAUGAAGGGACACAUUCAGAACUGACAAUGAGAUUGGGAAGUUACACAGAUGCUGUGAUCAAAAGUGGCCAGUAACAAUGAAACUACAACCAGAACAUGACAAGUCAACAGUAACAUUGCUCGUGAUACCUAAGCCCCAAAUCAUAAUUGGAAUAGGUUCGUGUGAUGUAGCAGUUGGAAAUAUUGCUGUCGUUGCUUGAAUGUAAAUUAAUCAGAAGACAUUCUUUAAGAACUAAUUAGAUACAUGAAACUGGAACCACUGGGACUUUCUCAGACAUUUUGGGUGGUGACUAUUAAGCUAUAUGUAUUCCCAGAAAGCACCAGAGAAGUUCAACCUUUAGUAAAGAAAUGAUAAAACAAAACAAAACCAAAACCAAAAACAAAACAAAACAAAAAAACGAGGUGUUUUAUAGCAAUUGACUAAGUUCCAAGUUGGCCAGAGGAUAUCAUGAAAACAGAAGAUUGAAUCAACUAGUGUUCAGAUAAAAUUAACAGAACCAGACAUUGAUUCUAAAUCAAAGAGUUUUCACAGGCCAAAACAUACAAGUAAAUUAUGGUUGAUUUAACUAAGGCCUUAUCUUUCAUCCCCCAAACAGAGAGGAGUUUAGUUCAAUUGCUUUAUGUGGAAAGAUGUGAAACAUAAAUUCAGGAGGAUUCAUAGAAGAGAUUUGCUACUUUGGUUAAGAGUAAACUGGCUUAUUACACUGAUGAUAUUGUGAUUGAGGAAAAAUAAGAAGUAGCACUGAGAGCAGUGCUGUCACUGGGGAAAGCAUGUGUUUGGCAUGUUUCAGUCUCUUGCUGUCUUCUUGGGUCAGGCUCUCAGUUGCCUUCUGCCUCCACCUCAGCUCAGUCACUGUUACCACAUCCAGCCCCUGGAGGGGGCCUGGGUACAAGCACAGGAAAGUCGGCAUUAGGCAUGUGGUGUCCCACACACUAAGUCAUGGUAUGGGGAGCUGAGGGUCUGUGAAGGUCUGCACUCAACACUUGAGUAUCCCUGUGCCCAAAGGAGUAUGACAUUAAAUAGCAAAUAUAGAAUGUCAUGAUGGAUCAAGUGACAGUGGUUAAAAAUAAGUAAAAUGUUUUCCUGUUUUUUGAAAGAGGCCCCAACUGUUCCUUGUAACUGUGCUCCACCAUCUAUUUAGCCACCCUUAAAUACGAGGUUUGCUAAGAAUAGUUAUUCACAUAACAUAUAGGGGUUGAUUGUUACAUCCUUCAAACAGUUAAUUCAGAGACCAGUAACCACCAUGAAAUUUUAGGAAAUCACUAAAUUAUACCACUAGACAUAUCCCCUCAAGCAUUGAAAAACAAAUCAUUGUGUUUGAAGAAUCCCACAAAUAAAGUGACGCACAGAAUGUAAUAGGCUUAUUUGUGUCCCGAAGGGCAUACAUUCUGUUUGAAAUGUACCCUUGCUUAAGGUGACCAGAAAAAAAUGAUCUAAAUAGAGACUUGAGGAGCAUAAGGAAUUGUAGGACUGACAAAAGCUUGCUAACAGCACAGGGAAAUUGGUCCAUAUAUGCUGUAAUGGUUACUAUUGAGUGUCAACUCGGGUGGAUUGAAGGAUGCACAGUAUUGUUCCUGGGUGUGUCUGUGACGGUGUUCCCAAAGGAGAUUAACAUUUGAGUGAGUGGACUGGGAGAGGCAGACCGACCCUGAAUCUGGGUGGGCACCAUCUAAUCAGCCAGCUCAGAUACUAUAAAAACAGGCAGAGGAACCUGGAAGGACUAGACUGGCUUAGCCUUCCGGCCUACCUCUUUCUCCCAUGCUGGAUGCUUCCUGCUUUCAAAUAUCGUACUCCAGGUUUUUCAACUUUGGGACUCAUGGAUCUUUGACCACAGACUGAAGGCUGCACUGUUGGCUUUCCUACUUCUGAAGUUUUGGGACUCAGACUGGGUUCUUUGCUUCUCGGCUUGCAGAGGGCCUAUUGCAGGAUCUUACUUUGUGAUCAUCAUCCCAACAGUCUUCCAGCUGCCUCUGCUACUAAUGAAAAACAUAUGUGGGGGAAAGGCAAUAUGGCCAACUAGACACAGCCAGGUGAAACAGCUCCCAUGAAGGGACCAAGACAACUGGUGUGCAGCUAACAGAUCUUCAGAGGGAAUGCACCAAGAAUGAAUGGAGGGAAGACACAGAAGUUGAAGAACUACUUGUAACUGGUAUCCCCAAGGAGGAAGGAGAUGCAAAGUUUGAUUUCCUGAGUAAUUUAAUUAUGAUGAUGACAUAUUGUCUCAAAACUAGUAAGUAAUAACGGGUAUUAAGUUCCAAUUUUCAAUGUAAGGAUCUGAGGUGAGCUAACAUGAGGAAGCUUUUACUUAGGAACAGGUUGGGAGGAGUCCAUUUGUAUGGCUUAUACACGUAACUGGAUUAGAUGGCUAAUGGGAUUUAAAUGAUCUUGACCUGCUAAAUUUCCUUAAAACUUCUAAUUCCACCAUCUCUUUCACAGUUCCAGAUUCACUCUGUGGGCUCAUAUCUACGAUUCCAAUUAACUUAAAACAAAUAGAUUUGAUAUAUUUGAGAAACAAAAAGAAUACAAAGUGAUCAGCAUUUAGACUUGCCUUCUUUCACAGCCGUAGGGCCACAGUUCCCUGAGGCAACUACAGGCAGAAUUUAAUAGAAGAAAAUAAAUUUGAAAAUGUGUAGCAGAGGGCCGGGUGCCGUGGCUCACGCCUGUAAUCCAAGCACUUUGGGAGGCCCAGGCAGGUGAAUCACCUGAGGUCAGGAGUCCAGGACCAGCGUGGUCAACAUGGGGAAACCCCAUCUCUACUAAAAAUACAAAAAUUAGCCAGGUGUGGUGGCAUGGGCCUGUAAUCCCAGCUACUCGGGGGGCUGAGGCAGGAGACUCACUUGAACUGGUGAGGCAGAGAGAGACUCUGUCUCAAAAAAAAAAAAAAAGUGUGUAUCAGAGGCUUGAGAUACUGCCUAAAAAAAAGUCAGACUGGGAGACGUACAAAGCCCUAGUGCUUGGAAUAAAGAGCGGAAGAAAAGAUUGCUACAAAAGGGAUCCUGUGCAUAAAUUUUAAUGGUUUAAGUAAUUGCAUUUAUGACUUACUGAGUAAAAAUGUAAGGUACUUUUAUCGUCCUCUAAAUGUAUUACCAGUGAAAAUAGCCAGUUUUUAAGAAACAGUAACUGACACUUUCAAUGUCUCCUCUUAAAAAGGUCAAAUAUUGCCAGGUAUCAUUUCCUGCAUCAACUGGCCUCUUCAAUGAUAUAUUUCUGAAUAUUUUUGCAUGUUUUGCUGUGUGUAAUGCUACUACAUCUAUAAUUGCACUACUAUUAUAAUAUAGGACAAUUCAAUUAAAGUGUUUGUUCAACCUAGACUUUUGAUUUAUGAGCCUCAAUCGGUUGCCUUCUUUAUUUACUGAGCAAUAUAUGACAUGAACCAAAUCUCUCUUAAUCCUUAUAGAGAGGCUGAAAUAAAUCAUACAUGUCUCGCAGAAGCUCUGUCAGUGAACCUAAUGAAAAACUGAAGUAGAACAUUUGAAUUGAUUCCAUCGCUUUCCUAGACUUUUUCUUUUUUAUUAUUUUCUAAGACUUUUCCUUUAUUGGGGAAGGAACUUUUAGAGAUGUGGCCAAGAUCAACUGCUGUACCUGGCUUUCCAUUAAAAAGUCCUAAGGGUGACUUUGUAGCUUUGAGUAAGAAAGAAAUAGUUGAUCAUCCUGAAACAAAUUAUUCCUUGUGAUUUAAGCAAUCAAUUUAAAUUGAUAACUGUCCCUGGAAAGUAAAUCACUUGUUAAUCGCUACUUUAAAAGUAGUAAGUCAGCCAGAGGUAGUGGCUCACGCCUGUAAUCCCAGCACUUUGGGAGGCCGACACAGGUGGAUCACGACGUCAGGAGAUUGAGAUCACCCUGGCAAACAUGGUGAAACCCCUUCUCUGCUAAAAUACAAAAAAUUAGCUGGGCGUGGUGGUGCGUGCCUGCAGUCUCAGCUACUUAGGAGACUGAGGAAGGAGAACUGCUUGAACCUAGAAGGUGGAGGUUGUAGUGAGCUGAGAUGGUGCCACUGCACUCCAGCCUUCUGAUGGAGCAAGACUCCGUCCAAAAAAAUAAAAAUAAAAAUAAAUAAUAAAAAAAAGUAGUAAGUCUUCGGGCGCUGUGGCUCACGCCUGUAAUCCCAGCACUCUGGGAGGUCGAGGUGGGUAGAUCAUCUGAGGUCAGGAGUUCGUGACCAGCCUGGCCAACAUGGUGAAACCCUGUCUCUACUGAAAAAUACAAAAAUUAGCUGAGUGUGGCGGCAUACACCUGUAAUCCCAGCUACUCGGGAGGCUGAGGCACAAGAAUUGCUUGAACUUGAGAGUCAGAGGUUGCAAUGAGCCCACAUGAUGCCACUGCACUCCAUCCUGGGAAAUAGAGUAAGACACUGUCUCAGAACAAUUUGUUGUUAUUUUUUUCUUAUUUCGGGUAGUAAGCAUCUGAAAUAAUAAAAUAGAAACAAGAAAAUAAAGCGAUGCAUAACCUGAUCUCCAGAGAUACAUGCUAAUAUUUCAGGGUAUAUCCUCCUAGUGUUUCUUCUUUGCAUAUGUAAAUAGAUAUUUCUUCCAAAUUGAAAAUAUAUACAAUAUAUAUUUUUCUACUCUGAUUUUUAAAUCUUUUUUUUUAACUUUUAGGUUCAGGUGUACAUAUGCAUGUUUGUUACAUAGGUAAAUUACGUGUCACAGGGGUUUGGUAAACAAAUUAUUUCUCACCCAUAUAAUAAGCAUAGUACCGUGUCUGGAAUUGGUGGGUUCUUGGUCUCACUGACUUCAAGAAUGAAGCCGUGGACCCUCGCGGUGAGUGUUAGCAGUUCUUAAAGGCGGCGUGUCCAGAGUUUGUUCCUUCUGAUGUUCGGAUGUGUUCAGAGUUUCUUCCUUCUGGUAGGUUCGUGGUCUCGCUGGCUCAGGAGUGAAGCUGCUGACCUUCGCAGUGAGUGUUACAGCUGUUAAGGCGAUGCCUCUGGAGUUGUUCGUUUCUUCCGGUGGGUUCGUGGUCUCGCUGGCUUCAGGAGUGAAGCUGCAGACCUUCACGGUGAGUUUACAGCGCAUAAAGGCAGUGUGGACCCAAAGAGUGAGCAACAGCAAGAUUCAUUGCAAAGAGCGAAAGAACAAAGCUACCACAGUGUGGAAGGAGACCCAGCAGGUUGCCAUUGCUCUCUGGGGCAGCCUGCUUUUAUUCUCUUAUCUGGCCCCACCCACAUCCUGCUGAUUGGCCCAUUUUACAAGAGACGAUUGGUCCGUUUUGACAGGGUGCUGACUGGUGCAUUUACAAUCCCUGAGCUAGACACAAAAGUUCUCCAAGUCCCCACUAGAUUAGCUAGAUAGAGUGUCCACACAAAGGUUCUCCAAGUCCCCACCAGAGUAGCUAGAUACUGAGUGUCAAUUGCUGCAUUCACAAACCCUGAGCUAGACACAGGGUGCUGAUUGGUGUGUUUACAAACGUUGAGUUAGAUACAGAGUGCCGAUUGGUGUAUUUACAAUCCAUUAGCUAGACAUAAAGGUUCUCCAAGUCCCCACCAGAGUAGCUAGAUACAGAGUGUGGAUUGGUACAUUCAUAAACCCUGAGCUAGACAAAGGGUGCUGAUUGGUGUGUUUACGAACCUUGAGCUAGAUACAGAGUGCCCAUUGGUGUAUUUACAAUACCUUAGGUAGACAUAAAGGUUCUCCAAGUCCCCGCCAGACUCAGACGCCCAGCUGGCUUCACCCAGUGGAUCCCACACGGUGGCCACAGGUGGAGCUGCCUGCCAGUCCCAAGCCCUGAGCCCGCACUCCUCAGCCUUUGGGUGGUCCAUGGGACUGGGUGCCAUGGAGCAGGGGGCGGGGCUCGUCCGGGAGGCUCCAGGGGCACAGCAGCCCACGGCAGGUGGCGGUGAGGCUCAGGCAUGGCGGGCUGCAGGUCCCAAGCCCUGCCCCGCAAGGAGGAGCUAAGGCCCUGCGAGAAAAGGAGGCAGCUAAGGCCCGGUGAGAAGUCGAGCACAGCAGCUGCUGGCCCAGGGGCUAAGCCCCUUACUGCCCGGCUGGCGGGGCCGGCUGGCUGCUCCGAGUGUGGGGGCCCGCCGAGCCCACGCCCAUCCAGAGCUCACGCUGGCUCACAAGCGGCACGCACAGCCCCGGUUCCCGCCUACGCCUCUCCCUCCUCACAUCCGGGCAAGCUGAGGGAGCCGGCUCCGGCCUUGGCCAGCCCAGGAAGGGGCUCCCCCAGUGCAGCCGCCGGCUGAAGGGCUCCCCAAGUGCCGCCAGAGUGGGCGCGGAGGCCGAAGAGGCACCGAGAGCGAGCGAGGGCUGUGAGGGCCGCCAGCAAGCUGUCACCUCUCAGUACCGCACAGGUAGUUUUUCAAUCUUCACCCUCCCAUCCUCUGCCCUCAAGUAGGCCCCAGUGUCUGUUGUUCCCUUCUUUGUGUUCUUCUGUACUCAGUGUUUAGCUCCCAUUUAUAAAUGAGAACAUGUGGUAUUUGGUUUUCUGUUCCUAUGUUAGUUCGCUUAGGAUAAUAGCCUCCAGCUUCAUCCAUGUUGCUGCCAAGGACAUGAUCUCAUUUUUUUAUGGCUGUUUCGUAUUUCAGGGUAUAUAUGCACCAUAUUUUCUUUAUCCAGUUUACCAUUGAUGGUUGUAUAGAUUGAUCCUAUGUCUUUGUAAAGGAAUUUCUUGUGACAAAAAAUACAAUACACUCUGAUAGUGAACGUUGAAGUUUUCAUUCCAAAGGAAGAGGAAGUUAUCUGACAAAUGCCAUCGGAUAUUUCCCUACCCUUAAUUUUUUCUUCAGGAAAAGAAGAAGAUACUACUGGAAGGAAGAGACAAAUACAGCUCUAAAAAAUUUUGCUAAUAACAUAGUUUCUGGUUCUGAGGCAGGCCUCUUUUCUCUGCUUCAUCUAUCCAUUGGAAUUUGACAAAAGCAUUUUUGUGAUGAUGUUAGAAGUUUGGCACAGAGAGAGAACUCAAAAAUCUAGUGGGUUAUUUUGUUAAAAUUACCAAAAUGGAUUAGAUUUCAUACUAUAGGCUAUGUAAACAUCUGUGAGGCAUGAUCUCGGAACACAGGACCAUCUUUAAACGGGUGUUUCAACCCAAUGUGCCUACUCUCGUAGGUGGGUAUGAUCUGUUUCCCUUAAGUCGUGAGAAGAUCCAUCUGUUCUAUAAAGACUUCUAAAAGAUAAACGAUCUGAAAAGUAGAAAUUUCAGAAUUUUUAUAGGCAUGUGUGGGCCAUUGCGCUUUAUGUCCUCAAGUCUCUCUAGAAAUGCAAACCAAAAGUGUCAAUAAUGCGGAAAGCGUACCAGCGCUGGCAUUUUAGCAAUUUACCUUUGAAAAUUUCUAUUGCUUUUUUAUCCCUAAAGUCAGGUUUAUAGAAUGGCUUCUAACAACUUUAAUAUAGGAAACAUGAUUAUUUUUCAAUAAUUUUUUGGGGUUGGUUUACUAUUAUUAUUUAUUAUAAAUAUUACAAUGAUUAUUGUUACACAGAAGUGUUCAGCAUUAGGAAAUUUAGACACUAUCAAGUGAAAUGCUUGUUUUGAAGCUAAACUUGUGUGUGUAUGUGUGUUUAAUAAGCAUCUAUUCUAUUUCUUUCAACAAUACUAUGCAUCUGCUUGACAUAAAAUAUGUUAAAACAUUGAAGAUGCUCUAACUCUAAUGAAAAAUAAACAUAUUUAUGUACAGAUAGAAAAAUAUAUAAAUGUUGCUAAAACAAAAAUAUGCCCUGGAGUUCUCAAUUACCUUCCCUAAAAGCAGGGAAUAUGCUCAAUCUUGGCAUAGUUAAGGAGUAGCAUAAAGAAUUGUCAACCCAUAGAAAUAGUAGGGCCAAACAGUUAAUAUGUAUAGAACAAAAAUAGCCUUUCUGAAAAAUAAUUUGUCCAAAUAUAUGAUUUAGUUUUGUAAAUCUUGAAUAAAGUGUGAUUCAUGAGCUACCCAAAUUUUGUUAUCAGUAAUGCUUUAACUAAACUAAAAAUUUAACUUCACCCCAAAUUGGAAAUGUUCAUAUAUCAAUAAUCCAUUAUUCUAACAUCUUUCCUGGUUUUGGUUUAAUGUUCCAUCAAGAGUAAGAUGGUUAACUAUCUACUUUUCUUUUUGUUCAAAGUUAGAGAGAUAGCAAACCACCAAAUUAAUAAAUCACUUUCUGGCAUUACUAAUAAUUAUGUGGCUGAUAAUAUUAAAUGGAAACAUGUGUACUCCUGCAUAUAACAACUAAAAUUGUUAGUAUCAGCUGAAUUUAUCAGAGAAUUAGACAUAUCUGUCUUCAGGCAGAACUCUCUGUGAGUAUCUGAGAAAAUACAAGUUUUUACUCCUUGGAAUAUUAACCAUGAUUUUAAUUUACAUGUAAAUAUUUUCUCAUUUCUAUAUAUCUUUUAAAAGUAGUUAACAAAAAUUAGUUUGGCAUACUUUGUGCAAGGUUAUAUCAUGUAUUGCUUUUAUUUUCAUUGUCUAAGUUCUUAGUAAAAAAGUCUGACAAAAAGUAGAUAGAUUUUUGACUCAUAGAGUGAGAAAAAUGUGGGAAGAAUUAAAGUCAAGAAACACUAUUCCCAAAUAACGCUUGUAAUAAAAUAUCAAAAUUUAUGAUUUACACAGUUAUUCUUUUAAAGUUUGACUUUUUACAGUUUUUGAGAUAUUGUUCACCUAUAUAACAAGUGAUCAAAUUAAAGUGCUUUAAUUUCAAUAGUUUAGUGUAUUAAGACAUAUACGACCAUUACCACAGUCACUGUUAGAAAACAUUCAUCAUCCCCAAAAGAAUCCUCACAUUAUUUAGCUAUCACUUAUUUUUGCCCCCAGUCCUGCAGACUGAAGUAACCCCUAAUCUAGUUUUUAAGUUGCAAUAGAUUUGCCUCUUCUGCACAUUUCAUAUUAAAUUAAUCUUGUGAUAUGUGGUCUCAUGACUGUUUUACUUAGCGUAAUGUUUCAAAGGUUCUUAUGUAUUCUACUGUGUAUCAGUACUUCAUUCCUUUCAAUGAAUAAAUAGUAUUCUGUUGAACUAAUAUAUCAUAUUUAUUUAUCCAUUCAUUGUUAAGGAACGUUUGAGUUUUUUCUUUUAGUUUAAGUAAUGAUACUAUGAAUAUGUGUGUAUUGUUGGAUCAUGCUACUAUUAUAUUUAAUCCAUUUGAGGAAUUCUCAGACUGUUUUACAAGGUAGGUAUACCAUUUUCUAUUUCUACCAGGAAGUUUGAGGGUUCUGAUUUUGCCACAUCCUUCCCAAUAUUUUUUAUCAUCAUUUUAUUUUUUCUUUAUAGUGGUUGUUAAGUUGCUACUACAUUUUAGUUUUAAUUUCCAUUCCCUUGGUGACUGACUAUACUAUGGAACACCUUUUCAUGUGAUUAUUGACCAUUUAUAUAUCUUUUAUGAAGAAAUUUCUGUUCAGAUUUUAAUCUCAUUUUUUAAAAUUGGUUGCCUUUUUAUUAUUGAGUUCUAAGAAUUAUUUUUAUAUCUUAAAUGUAAGUCCCAUAUGAGAAAUAUGUUUUGGAAAUUUUUUUUCCAUUCCAUAGGUUGUCUUUUUACUUAUGUGACAAUGUCUUUUGAAACAAAAGUUUUAAAUUUUGAUCAAGUCAAAUUUAUCUAAGUUUUCUUUUUAUGCUCAUGCUUUUGGUGUCACAUCUAAGAAUUGUUUUGCCAAAUCUGAGGUCACAAAAAUUAAAGCAUAAGUUUUCUUUUAAACAUUUUAUAGUUUUUAUUAUAUUUUGGUGUUUGAUCCAUUUUGAGUCGUUUUUUGUAUGUAGUGUGAGUUAAGAGUCCAACUUCACUCUUUAGCAUGUGGAUAUCCAGUCAUCCAAGAACCAUUUGCUAAAAUUUGUUAAAAAGUUUCUUCCCGAACAGAAUGGUUUUACACCCUUGUCUAAGUCAACCAUAGACAUGUUGGUUUAUUUCUGGAUUCUCAAUUCUAUUGCAUUUAUCUUUACGUCUACCGUUACCUGAGUACAAUACCAUCCAUCGAUUACAGUUACCUUGUAGUAAGUUUGGAAAUCAGCGAGAGAGAGUUCUUCCCAUUUGUUUCUCUUUUUCAGAAUUUUGUUGACUAUUUAGGGUCCCUUGCUAUUUCAUAUGAAUUUUAAAAUUACUUGUCAAUUUCUAUGGCUGGCUAUGAUUCUGCUCAGGAUUUUAUUGAAUCUAUAGACCAAUUUUUAGAUUAUUGCUAUUAUAAGAAUAUUAAGUCUUUUGAUCCAUAAAAUCAGGAUUUUUUUUUAACCUAUUUAGAGCUUUUAAAAUUUAUUUCGAC
rnacentral:lncRNA from 10 species